CUUGACGACCAUAGAGCAUUGGAACCACCUGAUCCCAUCCCGAACUCAGCAGUGAAANGAAUUCCGAAACCCCUCAUCGCUCACGCGAUGAGGGUUUUUGUCGUUGUGG
rnacentral:rRNA from 3 species